UGGGGAAACCCUGAUGCAGCGACGCCGCGUGAGGGAUGACGGCCUUCGGGUUGUAAACCUCUUUCAGUAGGGAAGAAGCCUUCGGGUGACGGUACCUGCAGAAGAAGUACAGGCUAACUACGUGCCAGCAGCCGCGGUAAUACGUAGGGUACAAGCGUUGUCCGGAAUUAUUGGGCGUAAAGAGCUCGUAGGCGGUUCGUCGCGUCUGCUGUGGAAACGCAAGGCUCAACCUUGCGCGUGCAGUGGGUACGGGCGGACUAGAGUGCAGUAGGGGAGUCUGGAAUUCCUGGUGUAGCGGUGAAAUGCGCAGAUAUCAGGAGGAACACCGGUGGCGAAGGCGGGACUCUGGGCUGUAACUGACGCUGAGGAGCGAAAGCAUGGGGAGCGAACAGGAUUAGAUACCCUGGUAGUCCAUGCCGUAAACGUUGGGCACUAGGUGUGGGGCUCAUUCCACGAGUUCCGCGCCGCAGCUAACGCAUUAAGUGCCCCGCCUGGGGAGUACGGCCGCAAGGCUAAAACUCAAAGGAAUUGACGGGGGCCCGCACAAGCGGCGGAGCAUGCGGAUUAAUUCGAUGCAACGCGAAGAACCUUACCAAGGCUUGACAUACACCGGAAUGUGCCAGAGAUGGUUCAGCCCUUUUGGGCUGGUGUACAGGUGGUGCAUGGUUGUCGUCAGCUCGUGUCGUGAGAUGUUGGGUUAAGUCCCGCAACGAGCGCAACCCUCGUUCUAUGUUGCCAGCACGUGAUGGUGGGAACUCAUAGGAGACUGCCGGGGUCAACUCGGAGGAAGGUGGGGAUGACGUCAAAUCAUCAUGCCCUUUAUGUCUUGGGCUUCACGCAUGCUACAAUGGUCGGUACAAAGGGUGGCGAGACCGUGAGGUGGAGCGAAUCCCAGAAAGCCGAUCUCAGUUCGGAUCGUAGUCUGCAACUCGACUACGUGAAGUCGGAGUCGCUAGUAAUCGCAGAUCAGCAACGCUGCGGUGAAUACGUUCCCGGGCCUUGUACACACCGCCCGUCAAGUCACGAAAGUCGGUAACACCCGAAGCCGGUGGCCCAACCCUUGUGGGGGGAGCCGUCGAAGGUGGGACUGGUGAUUGGGACUAAGUCGUAACAAGGUAACA
rnacentral:rRNA from 1 species